GACGAACGCUGGCGGCGUGCCUAAUACAUGCAAGUCGAGCGAAGUUUUUCUGGUGCUUGCACCGGAAAAACUUAGCGGCGAACGGGUGAGUAACACGUAAAGAACCUGCCUCAUAGACUGGGACAACUAUUGGAAACGAUAGCUAAUACCGGAUAACAGCAUUAACUGCAUGGUUGAUGUUUAAAAGUUGGUUUUGCUAACACUAUGAGAUGGCUUUGCGGUGCAUUAGCUAGUUGGUGGGGUAAAGGCCUACCAAGGCGACGAUGCAUAGCCGACCUGAGAGGGUGAUCGGCCACACUGGGACUGAGACACGGCCCAGACUCCUACGGGAGGCAGCAGUAGGGAAUCUUCCGCAAUGGGCGAAAGCCUGACGGAGCAACGCCGCGUGAGUGAAGAAGGAUUUCGGUUCGUAAAGCUCUGUUGUUAGGGAAGAAUGAUUGUGUAGUAACUA
rnacentral:rRNA from 1 species